AGCUCCAAUAGCGUAUAUUAAAGUUGCUGCAGUUAAAAAGCUCGUAGUUGCAUUUCCGAGGCAAGGGAUUAGUCCGCCCUUUGGUGGGUAUUUAAUCCUCUUGCCUCGUCCUUGAGUGGUGCUUCUUGGUAUUAAGUUAUCGAGGCGAUAGCCGCUCAUCGUUUACUGUGAGAAAAUUAGAGUGUUCAAAGCAGGCUUAUGCCGUUGAAUAUAUUAGCAUGGAAUAAUAAGAUAGGACCUCGGUACUAUUUUGUUGGUUUGAGAACCAAGGUAAUGAUGAAUAGGGACAGUUGGGGGUAUUCGUAUUCAGUUGUCAGAGGUGAAAUUCUUAGAUUUACGGAAGACGAACUACUGCGAAAGCAUUUACCAAGGAUGUUUUCA
rnacentral:rRNA from 1 species